AAGUAUUUGAUGAGUUGAUCGGAUUCCCCUUCACGACUUUUGGGUGAUGUAAACUCCGACUAUCUGAUGCG
rfam:Beta vulgaris subsp. vulgaris Bvchr3.sca003.con0119.1, whole genome shotgun sequence.